GUGACCUACGGGGGGCAGCAGUAGGGAAUCUUCCACAAUGGACGAAAGUCUGAUGGAGCAACGCCGCGUGAGUGAAGAAGGGUUUCGGCUCGUAAAACUCUGUUGGUAGUGAAGAAAGAUAGAGGUAGUAACUGGCCUUUAUUUGACGGUAAUUACUUAGAAAGUCACGGCUAACUACGUGCCAGCAGCCGCGGUAAUACGUAGGUGGCAAGCGUUGUCCGGAUUUAUUGGGCGUAAAGGGCGAGUAGACGGCGUUGCAAGUCAGAUGUGAAAGG
rnacentral:rRNA from 1 species